CCACUGCCGUGUUGCUGUUCGUGCUCAACCAACUUGAUCUCACUUGGUUAUGGCCUCAAAGCACAAGAGCAUUGGCAGUGGUGAGUCGGAUACGCUGAAGAGUAGCUAUGAAGUAC
rnacentral:miRNA from 1 species